rnacentral:lncRNA from 1 species
AGAUCCGGAUGAGUCCCAGUCCCCGCCACACAGGUCGUGGGUUCUCCUUUGAGAGUGACCACUGGUUCCUAGAGCUUUUCCUAAACUGGAGACGAAUCCUGCCCUGGGGGUCUCAGUCACCGCGAGGACUCGAGGGGCUAUUUUUAAAGAUUUUCUGUUUCCUUGAUUUCUCCUCCUUUGGAUGUGUUGGGCUUCCUGACUCUUUGAAGAAUCUAUCCAGUGUCUUUAAGAUAGCAAAACUAAGUGUCAAAAGCACCUUCUGCACACAGUGUGCACACACUGGCCGGUGGUCCUGUUCCCGCGAGGUUGAGCUGUGUCCCACAGACUUGGGUCCUCCGGGUGAUGAGGAGCCGCUGGAGGGCCCUGAGCUGCACGUGCUAAUGAUUAACGCCCCGUCCGUGCUGGCCGGUUUCUCAAAUGCCUCCUGACGAUUGCGCACAGCCGGACAUCAUUUCUACUGAGAGACAAAAGGAAAUCACUGAGGCUUUCUGAGGUGAGCUGGGCGGCCGCGGGGGGACUGGACUCACACCUGCUAACGGCCAGUCCACAGGACCUGCCCAGAGGCUCGGACACACAGCUGAAGUCACAUCCCACGGGGAGCAUCCUCACCAACUGACAAUCAGCACGGGUUUGCAAUUAAGGGUUUCUGCCCAGCCAAUGAACGGCCUCCAGAAACAACCUUUGUGGAACCCCCUAUAAAAGCUUUGCCAGCGCUUGCCUUCAGGACACUGCUCAGGGCUGACUCUGUACCCAAACUGCAGUCUUUGUUUCCCAAAUAAGCAGUCAUUCAUUCUACCUCCGUGUCAAUCUUUUCUUCGUGAACACAGCUGGUGUCAGGAGCAGGGCCCAGCAAGAUCUCUCCUUUGAGCGGCUUUCUCUGGAAUCGGGUGAAGUCCCCACAACACAGAGGCCCCUGUGCGCGCCCCUUCUUUGGGGCCAGCACCUCCCUUCAACUGAGGCUGAUACCUUUAUUUGGGAAUCUGGGGGCAGUUGCUGCCUCUGUGCCGGCAAAGCCUUUCAGCUUGGAGGACAUUUUCCCUGCUUACUGGAGAUUUUCCCAAUGGUGUCCAUGUCACUGUUCCUCUAGCAGAUGUGGAAAGUGGCUGCUCAGUGAGGACUCAGCCCCCACCAGCCUGACUGAGGGUCACACGACACCAUGGUGGAAAGUCACAAAGGGUAACGGGCCAAGAGGGCGAGGGGGGCUCCCUGACCCUGAGGACCCCUGAGGCACUGCUGCACCUUCCACGGAUUCUGUGUCUAGCGUUGCCCUCUUUGCAGAUGCCCCUCGUGGUGGUGGCACAAAGACCUAAAAAUGAUUUCUGUAAAAUGGGUAUGAGGAGCUCCCUGAUAAAGCAGCUCAUCCUAGACAGCCU